UACGAAGGGGGCUAGCGUUGUUCGGAAUCACUGGGCGUAAAGCGCACGCAGGCGGAUCGUUAAGUCAGGGGGGAAAUCCCGAGGCUCAACCUCGGAACUGCCUUUGAUACUGGCGAUCUUUGAGUCCGGGAGAGGUGAGUGGAACUCCGAGUGUAGAGGUGAAAUUCGUAGAUAUUCGGAAGAACACCAGUGGCGAAGGCGGCUCACUGGCCCGGUACUGACGCUCAUGUGCGAAAGCGUGGGGAGCAAACAGG
rnacentral:rRNA from 1 species